AUUAAUAACAUAUAUAUAUAUAUUAAUUCAUUUUAAUAUUGUACUUAAUGUUAAUAUUGAUUAUUGUGCCAUAGUUGUCAGAAAAUAAAAAAAAAAUGAAAUUUAAAAUCCUGAUAGUAGAGAUAAUUGUCUUUCAGUGUACUGAUAUUACGAUUGCAAAGAAAAUUGUGACUUAAGUGUAAACCAGAUUUGUGUAUGAGCUAUUUAUUCAGGAAUAACAUAUAUACCAUGCAACAUAUUACUUUCUUUUUAUUGAUAUUUUUGUAUUGUAAUGAUGAAAAUAAUUGUACAUUAAACAAAGAUCAUCUGUUCAA